rnacentral:rRNA from 1 species
GUGCCAGCAGCCGCGGUAAUACGUAGGGGGCGAGCGUUGUCCGGAUUUAUUGGGCGUAAAAGGCUUGUAGGUGGCCACGGCAAGUCGGAUGUGAAAUCUCCCGGCUCAACUGGGAGGGGUCAUUCGAUACUGCCGGGCUCGAGGCCGGUAGGGGGAAGCGGAAUUCCCGGUGUAGUGGUGGAAUGCGUAGAUAUCGGGAGGAACACCAGAGGCGAAGGCGGCUUCCUGGACCGGUCCUGACACUGAGGAGCGAAAGCGUGGGGAGCGAUCCGGAUUAGAUACCCUCGUAGUCC